CAAAUCCAAAAAGUUAUGGAACGUCCUACUUUUGUUUACGCCUCAAAAACUUACUUUUUUAAAAUACUUCUUCUUUAUUCUUCUACUAUCUAGAUUUUGGAAUUAGAAUGGAAACCUCUUUCUCAGCUUGUCAUCUCAGUUGAUAUCACAGCAGAUCUAGGAAGAAGAAUCAAUUUCCUUUUUUUUUAGUGCAUGAACUUAUGAUUUUACUUUUAUUUCAGUUUUAUUUUUUGGAAGAUGCAUGCAUUGACAGCAUCACCUUUCCUGUUCUAGUGAAAUGCAACCAAAUAGCUCCUGAAUAGGUUCCUGACCUUUGUCAUGAUAUCAUCAGUGGGAACUAUAGCUGGCUUGUCAGCUGAUUUGGUUAUGAUUUGAAAAGAGAAAUAAAUAUAGUCCUAAAAAUGGAUAUGCACCAACCAGAG